CCUACGGGAGGCAGCAGUGAGGAAUAUUGGUCAAUGGACGAGAGUCUGAACCAGCCAAGUAGCGUGAAGGAUGACUGCCCUAUGGGUUGUAAACUUCUUUUAUAUGGGAAUAAAAUGUUCCACGUGUGGGAUUUUGUAUGUACCAUAUGAAUAAGGAUCGGCUAACUCCGUGCCAGCAGCCGCGGUAAUACGGAGGACCCGAGCGUUAUCCGGAUUUAUUGGGUUUAAAGGGAGCGUAGGUGGAUUGUUAAGUCAGUUGUGAAAGUUUGCGGCUCAACCGUAAAAUUGCAGUUGAAACUGGCAGUCUUGAGUACAGUAGAGGUGGGCGGAAUUCGUGGUGUAGCGGUGAAAUGCUUAGAUAUCACGAAGAACUCCGAUUGCGAAGGCAGUUCACUGGACUGCAACUGACACUGAGGCUCGAAAGUGUGGAUAUCAAACAGGAUUAGAUACCCCUGUAGUC
rnacentral:rRNA from 1 species